rnacentral:rRNA from 1 species
UACGUAGGGGGCUAGCGUUGUCCGGAUUUAUUGGGCGUAAAGAGCGUGUAGGCGGCCAGAUAGGUCUGCUGUGAAAACUCGAGGCUCAACCUCGAGAUGUCGGCGGAAACCAUUUGGCUAGAGUCCGGAAGAGGAAAGUGGAAUUCCUGGUGUAGCGGUGAAAUGCGCAGAUAUCAGGAGGAACACCGGUGGCGAAGGCGGUUCUCUGGGCAUGUCCUGACGCUGAGGAGCGAAAGUGUGGGGAGCGAACAGG